CCUUCAAAUACGCCCGUCCCCAGCGUCCCCACAGCACCCAGCGCCCCCUUCCCCUACCCACCAUGAGUCCUCACGCCUUCGCCCUCCUCCUCCUCCUCCUGGCCGCCGUCCCAGGGCUGCGGGCGGCCGAGACGUUGGACGAGUCCGGAGGGGGCCUCGUGAAGCCUGGGGGGUCCCUGACCCUGGUCUGCAAGGGCUCCGGAUACACCUUCAGCAGCUAUAGCAUGGAAUGGGUGCGACAGGCACCCGGGAAGGCGCUCGAAUACGUCGCGAGUAUUAACAGCGGUGGUAGCACAUACUACGCGUCGGCGGUGAAGGGACGCUUCACCAUCUCCAGGAACGAUGGGCAGAGCACGCUCACCCUGCAGAUGAACAGCCUCAAGGCCGAAGACACCGCCACCUACUACUGCGCGAAAAGUGCUGAUGACAUUGAUCUGUGGGGCCACGGGACCGAGGUGACCGUCUCCUCCGAUACCCCCCGCGGCCCCACCCUCUUCCCGCUGGUCACCUGCAGCUCGUCCACCUCGUCGCUCUACGCCGUGGGCUGCGUAGCCGUGGGCUACUUCCCCAGCGGCGUCACCUUCUCCUGGACGGACGCGACCAACAGCAGCGUGGCCGCCGCCGCCACCGCCGCCUUCCCAGAAGCCCGCGGGGCCGGGCGCAACAUGGCCGCCAGCCGGCUGGAGCUGCCGCUGCAGGAGGGGAAGGGGCGGCAGCCCUUCUACUGCCGCGCCGCCCACCCGCGGGGCAACGCCGUGGUGGCAGUCCACAACCCCCGCUUCCCUGUCGUCCCCGUCACCCCGGUCCUCUCCAUCCACCCCCCGUCCCGUGAGGACUUCGAGGGCCCCUACAGGAACUCCAGCCUCCUCUGCCGCGUCCACGGGCCUCGCAGCCUCACCGCCGUCUCCUGGCUGAGGAACGGCGCCCCCGUCACCUCCGGCGCCGUCACCACCGGCGCGGUGACCGACGGCACCGGCGCCUACGUCACCGACAGCCACCUGAGCGUCACCGAGGCCGAGUGGGACGCCGGCACCAUCUACACCUGCCAGGUGGAUGGGGAGAUGAGGAACACCAGCAAGUCCCUGGAGUGCGGCUAUAAACCCGAGAGCAGCGACAUCACGGUCCGCGUGCUCCCCCCGUCCUUCGUGGACAUCUUCAACGAGAAGGUGGCCAAGCUGACCUGCAAGGUGAGCAACCUGCCCACCGUGGAGGGGCUGGUCAUCUCCUGGUUCAAGGAGGACGGGCAGAAGCUGGAGACCAAGACCAUGCCCCGCGUCCUCCAAGCCAACAGCCUCUACUGGGUGGAAGGGGUGGCCAGCGUCUGCGCCGACGAGUGGAACAAGGAGGAGGUCUACACCUGCAAGGUCAGCCACCCCGAGCUGCUCUUCCCCGUCGAGGAGAAGCUGCAGAAGGCCACCGAGCGCGACGCCAAGCCCCCCGCCCUCUACGUCUUCCCCCCUCCUCCGGAGCAGCUCAGCGCCCACGAGACCGCCACCGUCACCUGCUUGGCCAAGGGCUUCAACCCUCCGGACCUCUUCAUCCGCUGGCUGCGCAACGGCGAGCCCUUGCCGGCCUCUGACUACGUCACCAUGCCGCCCGCCGCCGAAUCGCAGUCGGCGCGCUCCUACUUCACCUACAGCGCCCUCAGCGUGGCCACUGACGACUGGGGGGCCGGCAACGUCUUCACCUGCUUGGUCGGCCACGAGCGGUUGCCCUUGCAGGUGGCCCAGAAGUCGGUGGACAAGUCCUCGGGUAAACCCACCUCGGUCAACGUCUCCCUGGUGCUCUCCGACACCGCCAGCUCCUGCUAUUAAAAAAAAAAAAACAUCCCCCCCUCCUCCUCCUCCCUCCGUCGGUUUCACCUCAACGUGUUCAAGACGCCCCCCAAAAACAGUUGUUUCGGUGCAGAAUGUAUUUAACUCUCUUCCUCUCCCCGCAAAAAACUGUUUUUUUGCAAUGCAGAACGUCUUCAACUGCCCCCCAUAAUUCAUUUUUUUUCAACGUGGGAUGUUAUAAUCCCCCCAAAAUUCAUUUUGCAGGGUGAAACUUCUCAAAACCUCCAUUAAAAUCUGUUUUUUCAACACCAAACAUGCCUGAUUCUCCCCAAAAUUUGCUUUUUGCUAUGCAAAACAUAUUAAAACAUCCAUCAAAACUCUUUUCCGCAACACAAAACACCUUCAACUGCCCACAAAAUUCGUUUUUUCAACGUGGGAUGUGUUGAGAUCCCCCCCAGAUUUCAUUUUGCAGUGUGAAACGUGUUAAAGUCUCCCAAAACUUGGCUUUUACAAUGCAAAACAUGUUAAAACAUCCCUUAAAAUACAUGUUUCUGCAAUGCAAAAUGUGUUAAAGUCCCUCAAAAGCUGGUUUUUGCAGUGGGAAAAGUGUCCAAAUUCCACCAAAACAUGUUUCUGCAGGGCAAAAUGUGCCAAAAAGCCCCUCAAAAUGUUUCUGCAAUGCCAAAAAAAAAUGUUU